rnacentral:rRNA from 1 species
GACGAACGCUGGCGGCGUGCCUAAUACAUGCAAGUAGAACGCUGAAGGAGGAGCUUGCUUCUCUGGAUGAGUUGCGAACGGGUGAGUAACGCGUAGGUAACCUGCCUGGUAGCGGGGGAUAACUAUUGGAAACGAUAGCUAAUACCGCAUAAUAUUGACUAUUGCAUGAUAGUCAGUUGAAAGGUGCAACUGCACCACUACCAGAUGGACCUGCGUUGUAUUAGUUAGUUGGUGGGGUAACGGCUCACCAAGGCGACGAUACAUAGCCGACCUGAGAGGGUGAUCGGCCACACUGGGACUGAGACACGGCCCAGACUCCUACGGGAGGCAGCAGUAGGGAAUCUUCGGCAAUGGACGGAAGUUUGACCGAGCAACGCCGCGUGAGUGAAGAAGGUUUUCGGAUCGUAAAGCUCUGUUGUAAGAGAAGAACGAGUGUGAGAGUGGAAAGCUCACACUGUGACGGUAUCUUACCAGAAAGGGACGGCUAACUACGUG